UUUGAUUAUAUUUAAGAAUAAGAAACAAAGCAUGGCUCUUUAUUUUUUAGUUGAAAUAUAUUAUAUCGGUCAGUUUUCUUUUAAUCCCUGAUUUUUGGAGAAAUUAUUACAUGCACCCGGUGCAUAUGUACCAUCUCUCACAAUCAUAUAAAACCUACUCUCUAUAUUGUAAGUAGGGCCUACUUUUCUAUGAGAGAUGGAGCAUUAUUUUUUAGUACACCGGGUGCAUCUAAUAAUUAGCCUGAUUUCUGCUAACAAAUUUUGCACCUGUUCUCUUUUUUUUCCCCCUCAUGUGAAGGAAAGAAAUGCUCUU
rnacentral:misc_RNA from 1 species